UGGCUCACUUGGUGGAGCAUGAGACUCUUGAUCUCAGGGUGGUGAGUUCAAGCCUCAC
rnacentral:tRNA from 1 species